GAUGAAGAACGCAGCGAAAUGCGAUACUUGGUGUGAAUUGCAGAAUCCCGUGAACCAUCGAGUCUUUGAACGCAAGUUGCGCCCGAAGCCAUUAGGCCGAGGGCACGCCUGCCAGGGCGUCACACGUCGUUGCCCCCCCAUCUACUCCUUCGGGAUUGCGGGGGGCGGAUGAUGGCCUCUCGUGCGCCUCGUCGCGCGGUUGGCCUAAAUGCCAAGUCCUCGGCGACGCACGCCACGACAAUCGGUGGUUGCGAAACCUCGGUUGCCUGUCGUGUGCGGUCGUCGCGCAUCGAGGGCUCGAAAAAAUUGCCGGGCUUCGGCUCGACUUUCAACGCGACCCCAGGUCAGGCGGGGUUACCCGCUGAAUUUAAGCAUAUCAAUAAGCGGAGGA
rnacentral:misc_RNA from 1 species